rnacentral:rRNA from 1 species
AUAGUCAUUUGUCUUUUAAUUGGAGGCUUGUAUGAAUGGUCGCACAAGAAAUAAUUUGUCUUAACUGAAUCUAUUGAAUUUAACUUUUAAGUAAAAAGGCUUAAAUAAAUUAAAGUGACGAUAAGACCCUAUAAAACUUUAUAAUUUAUAUUAAAAAAAUAUAUUAGUUAUUUAAAAUUUUUUUAGUGGAUUUUAUUUUAUUGGGGCGAUAAAAAUAAAAAUAGUAACUGUUUUUAAAAUUUAAAUGAUAAUUGUCAGUUUUAUUAAAUGAUCCUUUAUUAAAGAUUAUAAGAUUAAGUUACUUUAGGGAUAACAGCGUAAUUUUCUUUGAGAGCUCUUAUCUACAAGAAAGAUUGUGA